GCCAUCAACACGCCAAGAUGGCGGCCCUCACGCCGCCCGCCCGCCCGUGCUGCGUCACGCCGCCCCCGGCCCCGCCGCGCGCCCGCAGGUUUCCUGGCGGUUCGGCUGAAGUCGGGGCGGAGGACGCGUCGGUUCCCUCCCAGCGCUCCGCAGCGGCCUCAGGUACCGACCGCGUCUGGGGAGCGCGCUGUGAGCCCCCGAGCGCGGCUCUGCGGCCGGAGGCAGUUCGGCGGGGUACCGCAGGACCCCCGAGCGGGGAGAGGGCCCUGCAGGGCUGUCAGCAGGGAGGGGUGAAACGGGGCUGGGAAUGGGCGCCUUUAAAAGCGUACGGAAACACAGAGCCCUUGAACCAAAUCCGUGGACGGAGGCGUGUGCUGGGUGCUGGGCGCUGGGUGCUGGGCUCUGGGCUCGUGCAGGCUGCUGUUUCGAAAGAAGGGAGGGCCCUUGGGAUGAUGACAGGAGCUUAGCAGUGUGUCUGUGCACACCUGUUUGCAUCCAGCCUGUGUACGUGCAGCCCGACCGAGGCGACGUGGAGAGCAGCGUGCGCUGCGGGCCGCGUUUCUGUUGGAGUGAAGGUGAGCUCCUCUCCGGAGAAGACGGCAUCAGCCGCGAGCGUUGGUGCGAUCAGAGUGCAGCGGGCUCUGUGCCGGGGCGCUGGGGAGGGGCAGCUCCCCUUUGCUGCCCUGCUUCUCCUCCCUUCGCACGGCGCAACAGCAGCUGCUGGAGCACGGGGUGAAAUCCUGGAGCCGAUGAGCUGCAGAACAGCAGUGGUUCUCCAGUCGCUUUGGCCUCUGAAAUGUAGGAUUCCUCUUUGUACAUCCAUCCCAUUCCGCUGACAAUCGGUGGAGUUUUACUGCUGGGAUGAUAGCGGUAACAUAAAAGCAUUUCAGAGGGAGAUCGGAUGGGUCUCUUCUUGCUUCCCUUCCAGAAGCCGUGGCUGUGUGCACAGGAUUCCCUAAGGUUGGCUUUUUAACCGAGUUGUGUUUGUUGUUCCUGCAGCAGCAGAUGAUGUAACGACGUACAGAGGAUGGUAAACCUGCACGUUUUAGACUAUAUGUUUAAGUCAUCUGUGUCAUCAUCUGACAUCAGCAUUGCAUAAUCUGUUGACUGUCCCCUUUUUAUGUAAUUUAGAAACUUGUAAGACACCAUUUUGGUAGCCGGGUCCAUCCGAGUGCUACAUCUUCCUCUUUUAGGAGCGGUCUCCAUGGCAGCUCUGGAUGUGCCCUUUCCAGGUAAGCGGGCUGCUCGCAGCCCCGACCCACACCUGGAGUUUCUGCUCCUCCUGUAUGAAGCACAGGGAUGUCUUGUACCGAUGAAGUCCAUCAGCAUCAUAAACGAAGCUUUUGUGAUAUACCAGAAGCAAAUGGAUUUUUCCACGUUUCUUUUUCGAUUUGCUUAUUUCAGAGCUCAGCGUAUGUUUCCCUCAGGCAGAGGUGUCCCACGAUCUUUUCAGCAAUCCCCAUUUAAAACAACAAAAAAAAAUGGGGGGGAGGGGAUACAGGUAGACACAAGUUAAACUUGCUCGCAGUACACUUGUUUAUCUCACAAUGUUAUGUUUGGAUCUUACCACCUAAAAGCACCGGCUGCAUAGGGAAGCAUCUAGAGACUGGAGGCACCUCUCCUGCCUAUUCCAGCUGGGGUCUCUCAGCACAGCUGGCUGCUCGCCGUUCGGUGCUGCUCCGUCAGACCCAUCAGCAGGCAUAGGAGUGGAUAUCUGCCAUCCCAGCUCUCUGAGCACAUGUGACCAGCUCUGAUUAAGCCCAGCUGAAUGUGUUUGCGGCGCUGUAAAAUUCCACCUCCCGCCAGCCUGCUCUGCUGCCUGGGUGAGAGCCUGGCCUGCUCGGUGCAGUGUGCAGCCUGGGCGCGGUGUGGUGCUGCCCUCGUACUCGUGCUGUGAGCAGUCCCAGCCCUUAGCUGUUGUACGCAGUGUGGCACCGUGAACUCACCUGGCCCUCGGCCAGGUGUACAUGCUGUCUGGUUCAUGGCAUUCAGCACUUGAGUAACAGAAAACAAAUGCUGCCUUCGAGCUCUGAUGAAUUUAAGGAGAAGAGGGGGAUGCCUUCAUUCUCUCCGGCGUUAUUUGUAGAGGGAUACGUUAACAUUUCUCCCUUUAGUGUAGCACUGGUGAGUUGGAUUUUUAAGGGUGAUUCAGCCAGAAGUUACCAGGGCUGUUGUGUUAGCACUGUGAUCACCAUGAUUUCCUGCACUGAAGCCCCACAUGCAAAGCACUUCUGUGAGAUGUUCCUGAGCCUCUCGCCUGGCAGCCAGGGAACCCAUCGGGGUGAUCCGAGGUUCUGAGACAUGCAAGGGAUGGGGAAUGGAAAGCACCUGCUGGGCCUGGCAGCAUUGCGGAGGGGCCACGAUGACUGACAGGCUGCCCUGGCUCAGUUAUCACAGUGCUGAUGCUGUCUCUUGUAAAGGUACAGUACUGUGAUAACUGAAGGAUGGCAGCCAUCUGAGCUUCAGAGGCCCUUGGUCUGCAGCUGAUGGAUGGGCGUUCAGCACAGCAUCCUGCUGAGGUGGGUGUCCUCAUUCUAAACGUAGUCCUAAUGUAAAAGUCAAGAAAAGGUUUACUUCAAUAAAGAUUACACUUUAUUGACA